GUUGGUUGAAAAUCACCCAUGGUUCUGGCCAUGGCUGCUGGUGAAAUUUGGCGCCCAGAGCCACGAGGGGCCUCAGGUCACUGCCCACUGCCUGGUGUGUGUGGGAGAAACCCAGGCCCCAACAGAC